rnacentral:rRNA from 1 species
GGCCUAACACAUGCAAGUCGAGCGGUAGAAGAUCUUCGGAUCUUUGAGAGCGGCGUACGGGUGCGGAACACGUGUGCAACCUGCCUUUAUCAGGGAGAUAGCCUUUCGAAAGGAAGAUUAAUAUCCCAUAAUAUUUUGAAUGGCAUCAUUUAAAAUUGAAAGCUCCGGCGGAUAGAGAUGGGCACGCGCAAGAUUAGAUAGUUGGCGGGGUAACGGCCCACCAAGUCAAUGAUCUUUAGGGGGCCUGAGAGGGUGAUCCCCCACACUGGUACUGAGACACGGACCAGACUCCUACGGGAGGCAGCAGUGAGGAAUAUUGGACAAUGGGUGAGAGCCUGAUCCAGCCAUCCCGCGUGAAGGACGACGGCCCUAUGGGUUGUAAACUUCUUUUGUAUAGGGAUAAACCUACCCUCGUGAGGGUAGCUGAAGGUACUAUACGAAUAAGCACCG